rnacentral:lncRNA from 1 species
UUCUUUUCUGAUUAAUGAAACUCUCUUUCUUCCAGAGACUUCUCUCAACUGCUCCUCCUUCUCUCUAGAUUCUCUCACUGUAUUUUCCAUGAUUUUUCAGUUUAAUCUCAAAUUUUUCAUGGUAUCAGAGCCUAGACGACGAUCCGACUAUGUUUUUCUGCAUCUUGUUAUCUUGGUUGAAGUAUCCUUUGAGAUUUUUGGGGGUG